rnacentral:lncRNA from 1 species
AUAGAAGAAAGAUAUUUGGAGAAUAACAGAUACUACACUCUUUCCUUAACAAAACAAGUAUUUAUUGAAUAAAGAAGGACAAAAGAGUAUAGUAAAAAAGAAAUGAGACUGUCAAUUUAAAUGUGUAUCAAACAAAAAAAGGGGGAGGAGUGGAUGCCAAAACAUCGUGGCUUAGCACAGCUCACAGAAGACUUAUCUGGAAAAACUUCUUUCAUUGAGUUGACCUCUGAUCUUGCUCUUUUGCCAGUAGGUAUUUUCUCUCUGAAUCUGAGAGCUGUCUCUGUGUCUGUUUUUUUUUCCCCCUCGUCCUUUUUUUCCCGCCGGUCUGUUGAUUCUCCCUGCUGUUGUUGGACGUCAUCGUAUUUAUACCCAACAGAAAAUAAUAUAAUGCCAAAAAAAUAAAAGAAUGACCACUGAUCUGAGACCAGCUGGUCUCAGAUCAGGCGAUCAUUCUUUUAUUUUUUGGCAAGCAGUGACUUAAAAGCAUUGACAAAAGAAAUUCUCUUUGUAAGUAAUGCAUGGGUGUGUUAAUUCGCAUCAAGAAGUAUUGUUAAUUACAUCUUCCCGACAGGAAGGAUUUGAUGACACCAUUUGCUUUUAAGUUUUAUAAUGGGCUUAUCAUGAGUGCAUCUUAGCAUCCAUUUAAUGUAUUGGCCUAUAAAACAAUACAUAAAGUAGAAUAAAAUAUAAUUGAAGAAUACAAAAAAACUUGC